UGGGGAAUUUUGGACAAUGGGCGAAAGCCUGAUCCAGCAAUGCCGCGUGUGUGAAGAAGGCCUUCGGGUUGUAAAGCACUUUUGUCCGGAAAGAAAUCCUUGGCUCUAAUACAGUCGGGGGAUGACGGUACCGGAAGAAUAAGCACCGGCUAACUACGUGCCAGCAGCCGCGGUAAUACGUAGGGUGCAAGCGUUAAUCGGAAUUACUGGGCGUAAAGCGUGCGCAGGCGGUUUGCUAAGACCGAUGUGAAAUCCCCGGGCUCAACCUGGGAACUGCAUUGGUGACUGGCAGGCUAGAGUAUGGCAGAGGGGGGUUAGAAUUCCACGUGUAGCAGUGAAAUGCGUAGAGAUGUGGAGGAAUACCGAUGGCGAAGGCAGCCCCCUGGGCCAAUACUGACGCUCAUGCACGAAAGCGUGGGGGAGCAAACAGGAUUAGAUACCCUGGUAGUCCACGCCCUAAACGAUGUCAACUAGUUGUUGGGGAUUCAUUUCCUUAGUAACGUAGCUAACGCGUGAAGUUGACCGCCUGGGGGAGUACGGUCGCAAGAUUAAAACUCAAAGGAAUUGAC
rnacentral:rRNA from 1 species